rnacentral:misc_RNA from 1 species
GAAAAUGGUAUGCUUUUCAGCAGACAACUCACUUCAUGAGAACAUUUCGUUAUCAGAUAUUUCAUAUGGCUGCAGGUGCCUGACUCAUGAACUAAAAGGAUACGAGCAAUCAUUAAUUGGGUCACAGGCGAUUAAACACUCGAGAUAAAUCUUCACUUUUGAUAGAAAAUUUUCUGUUGAUGUAUUGAAGAAAUCAAUAUAAAACAACUAAACAGCAAACAGUACUGCCCUUUCCUUUUAAGAAAUAGAAAAAAUAGCUAGUAUAGGAUAAAAAAGAGUAACGUGAUACAAUGAAUAGAAAAGAAAAAGUGGGAGAGAUGCAAUAGAUAAAGCAAAUUUGAACCCAUCUUCUCAUACAAUUUACUAGCAAAAGCAACCUCU